CCCUGGCUGUCCUGGAACUCACUGUGUAAACCAGGCUGGCUUUGAACUCUCAGAUCCAUCUGCCUCUGCCUCCUGAGUGUUAUUAAAGUCAUGUGCCACCAUCUUCAACUUCCUGAUUUGUUUUUAACAGAGCAACAAUGGGGGUUUGGUCAGCUCUUCACUGUGGGAAGAUGGUAUUGCAAUCCUAUGGUAUUGUAUUUGUAACGUGGUGUUUAAUGGAACAUAGUUUAGAAAAUUCCUUCUGCAAGGGUAUUUCUAUAUCCUUUCCCACUUCAUUGGGUAUUUAACACUUUCACAUAAUUGCUACCUUCAGAAACAGAACUGUUUUUCUUCUGUAGACCUUCACACCAUGUGGUGAGUACUCCCUUAGCCAUUUUUAGUUUGAUUCUGUGGUCCUUUUCAUGGUUUUCCACUUCUAGCUCCAUGGUCACAGAACCUGGCCAGUGUCCUUCCUCUCUUCCUGUUAUUGGAAAAUUAGACUAUUUAUCUGGGCUAACCCACGCCUCCAUAUCACUAGCUGUCACCUUUCUACUCAGCCAUGCUCUACCUGUGACCACUCUGCACCCUGUUCCUUUGUCUAGAAGCUUUUUCAAUCACUUUACACUGCCAUACUCAUAUCAGUGCCAUCUAACUUUCUCCACUGCCAACAUUGUUGGAAGGGAGGGACCCAUAUUUUACUACUCAUUAUACUCAGUUAUCUUACUGAGCCUUAGGUCAUUCGAGAGACACAGCUGACAUUCAUCUUACCUACCUUAUUUUUAUUUCCACAGUGCACGAAAUGUACUUAGUAGAAAUGCACAUUUUGAAGUGGCUUACAUUAUGACCAUUAUUGAUUUCAGGGUUUUUUUUUUUGUUUGGUUUGGCUUUCAGGCUUUUGUUGUUGCUGUUGCUUUUUCUGGGACAGGGUUUCUCUUUGUAAGCCUGACUGUCCUAGUAGAACUCACUCUGUAGACCAGGCUGGCCUCAAACUCACAGAGAUCUGCCUGCCACUGCCUCCCAACUGCUGGGAUCAAAGGCAUGCAUCACUACCUCCGGCUCUGAUGUUAGUUUUUACAUGUAGAGGUUUAAUGUUAAAUUAUUUUUGUGCUUUAUGGAUAGUUUUAUAAGAUGAUUCUCUGGCGUUACUCCUUGGAACUGUGAACUAGCACUGCUGAGUGUAAACCGAGGCAUACAGCUUCCUCUUGAAGGCGGUGUUGAGGGUUGUCCUGACUUGGCUUUUGUCUGGGACGGUAGAGCUUGUUGGGCUGUGUGCUGUGCAGUCCAGUUUGCUAGUCAUGGUGAGUGAUCCUUGUCUCUUCUGCCUCCCUUUUCCCCUGUAGCUGCCACUGCAUUGUAUCAUCUGCAAUGUAAUGGUUUGGUUACACUGGAUUCAUAAAAGAAUGCCCUUCAUUGAGGUUUAGAUACAAUUUAUUUACUCUUUUUCAUUUUAGAUUUUGGUUGUGUUAUUUUCAAGAAAUACAGCAUAGCCCAUUUGGCAUUCAUGUAACUUCACUGAGUAUCUAUAGAUUGAGAAUUAGAUUUGAGAUAUUUAAAUUGUAAAGGAGUGUAUGAUUAAGACUAUGCUAUAAGGACUUGGGGAUAUAUGUAGCUCAGUUGAUAAGAGUAGACAUGAAGCUCUGGAUCCAUUCAUCAGUGCUUUAUAAACAGUAAUAGUGUAUGUAUCCUGUAGUUCCAAGAUAUAGAGACAGGUGACCAGAAGUUCAAGGUUAACUUGCUGCAUACCAAGUUUGAGGCCAGCCUGGGAUACAUGACAUGCAAAAAAAAAAAAAAAAAAAAAAAAAUGGAGCAGUAGUCUGAACAGUUGUGACAGUUUGAAUCUCAGCCUUCUAAAACUCAGGCCAGAGUCAUGGGGGUUUUGGUUGCUUUUGGGGGGAGGGGGUAAAGCUAUUUUGAAUGCAGAAAUGUGAGAAUCCUAGUAUUGAUUCAAAGCAGGAAUGGAGAGAUGGUACAGUGGUUAGCACUGGCUGCUCUUCCAGAGGACCCAGGUUGAAUUCCCAGCAACUACAUGGUGGCUCACAACCUCUGUGACUACAAUUCCAGGGCAUCUGGCAUGCUCUUCUGGUUUUUGUGAGCCUUCAUCAUAUGGUGCACAGGCAUUCAUGCAGAUAAAACACCUAUAGGAAUAAAAUAAAAAUCCUUUAAAACAAAAGAAAAGGACCAGGUGUAAUUGCAUACUUUUAUCUCAGCGCUGAAAAGACAGAUCUUUGGGUUCAAGGCUACCCUGAUUUACAUAGUGAGUUCUAGGCCAACCAGGGCUACACAGUGAGACCUUGUCUCAACCCCACCCCCAACAACAAAACCCACUGGAGAAAGUAAUAGUUAGGAUAGUAGAAAUUUUAUUGGAUUCAUCUAUACAGUAUUCUAUUUAUAUAAACAUUCUCUCUACCUAUUGCAUCAGGUGGAAAGCAGGGUGAGAUGUGAACUAAUGCAGAAAUGCUUAGCCAAUGGCAGCAGCAUCCCAUGGCUUCAAGUUAUCCCAGAAGCCCAGAUGUCCCCCAAGUAACCCCUCCAGUCUCUGCUUAGCUAAGUGAAGGGUACCUCAACAGAGGUUUUCCUAGCUGAUGUGUAAUAGCUACCUCCUGCCAUGGUUUUUCUCUUGCUGAACCCAUGUGAUUAUGCGAUAAGGCAGCUGCCAAGGUGUUUUCAGUUAACUUUCUCCCGUAUAUUCCUUAAUAAUUUGAGAGUCACCUCACAUGCCAGAGAGUCCGCUCAGCAUUUGAAAUAGUGUUGUGUUGAUUUGCUAUAUUUAAAUAUUGAGGCAGGAUGUGUGUGACACUAACGUUUUAAAAGUCAUUCUAACUAGGACACUACUCAGAAUGGUUUUAUUUUUCCAGUAACAUGAGUUGCUUUUUUGCAUUCAUGCACUUAAAAAGUUCAUUCUUAGAUAGAUCUUAAUAGCUACUCAGGUUUUAUUUUACAACAUGUUUUUAUUACAUUUUAUUUUGUGUUUGCAUGUGGGUGUGCAUUUGGGCAUGUCCACAUGCCACAGAGCUUAAAUGGGUUCCAUGGACUGAACUUGGGCCAUCAGGUGGGUGCCUUAUCAUCUGAGCCAUCCAACUGGCCAUAAAUGGUCUAUUUAAAACAAAACAAAAAAACUUCCAGGGCUGGAGAGAUUGUUCAGUGGUCAAGAGCACUAACUGGUCUUCCAGAGGUCCUGAGUUCAAUUCCCAGUAACUACACAAUGUCUCACAACCAUCUGUAAUGCUCUCUUCUAACCUGCAGGGAUACAUGCAGCCAGAAUGUAUACAUACUAAAUAAAUCUUUAGAAAAAUUUCCCAUUGUUCAGCAACAUUUUCAGUGUUAAGCAGUUGUUUUUUUGCUGAUUGAUCAUAGCCCUAGCUUCCUCAUGGGUUCAUUUAGUCAAAAUAGUUUGAGUAUUCUGACACAAGUAGGUGGAAAGGAAAGAGGGAUAUUAUUUAGUCUCAGGGAUUUUCUUAAGUAACUGGUAAUAACUAAAGUAAAUUUUCCUUUCUAGUUUUAAGGUCUGUCCCGUACAUUCUAAUUGUCAGUGGGGAUGCCAGUUUGAUGCAUGCUGACCUCUACCAACAGGGGUCUUCUGAAGCCCUUGAGAGCUCCAGACCUCGAUGUGAACCCAAGUACACCAUUUACUCUUGGUAGUAAAGGGCCGGGGACCAGAGUUAAGAAUGUGGCUUGUGUACUGGGGGUCUCUACUUCUGAAGUUCCCAGCAUCUACUCUGGAUAGCCAACUGAAUGUAGUCUUUGCUCUAUAAGACAAAGUGCUCUUUUCCCUUCACCUCCUCUCCCAGGUAAGGAUGGGCAUGUGAGCAGAGCCAGGGCAGCCAGAUUCCCGAUCGUCCUGUCUUAUUUAGAGCCACAGAACUUGGGACAAGUGUGCAGGGCUCCAUUCUGAGACGCCUCUAGCUGGUUGUGGUGGCGCACACCAGUAGGAUUUGCUGAAGGAGAUGCCUCUUAAGUCAGAUUCCUAGGCCUUCUGACCUGGUACUUUGGCCAUUCCUUUCAUUCUGAGAUUUCUCACUUCCUUCUAAAACACUACUUUCUUCUAGUAUCAGUUUAAGUUUUUCUGAAGCCUUUAAACAUAUUUGUGAAUGAAAAUGCAGGUCUAUAAAAUGCUCAAAUGUAAUUUUGUGUUGGUUUUCAUUUCAUUCGCACAGUAAGAAAUUAUAUUUAGUAUUAUUAAACAUUUAAAAUUUUUUUGGUUGGUUUAUAAGUGUUUGGCCUGCAUGUAUGUAUGUGUGCCAUGUGCAUGCCUGGUGUUAGUAGAGGUCAGAAGGCACUACUGGAUCCCCUGAACCGGAGUUAUGGGUUCUUAUGAGCCACUGUGUAGGUGCUGGGAACUGAAGUUGGGUUUUCUGCAAGAACAGCAGUACCCCUAAAUGCUGAGUGAUCUCUCUAGUCUCAAUAAGCAUAUGUUAAUUCAAGCAGAUAAUCAAAAUGUUUAUUGAAAAUGUCAUAUAUGCAUAUAAUGCAUUUUGGUCAAAUCCACCUGAUAUCACCCCCAAUACUUCCUUUCAAUUUUGAGUGCUCUUUUUAAACUGAUUUAUUUAUUCUAAUUUUAUGUGUAUGAGUGUUUUGCUACAUGUAUGUGCGUAUACUUUGUGCAUGCCUGGUACUGGCAGAAGCCAGAAGAAAUGUUGAAUUCCUUGGAACUGGAAUUGCAGACAGUUGUGAACCACCAUGUGCACACUGCGAAACUGAGCCCAGAUCAGUUGGCGGUGUGUGCAUGAGUGAGGCCAUCUCCUGGGGUAUGGGUGGCCUUGCAGAGGCUAUACCCUUGAAGAAAAUGGACUCUCCCUCUCCUGGAAAUCAUUAGUUGACAAUAUCUCUGAAACCAGCAGUGGGGUUUCAAGAUUUCCCCCAUCCACCCAUGCUGGGAUUUGGUUGACUUGAUCUUGCACUGGUCUUGUGCAUGCUGUCGAAGUCAUAUGAAUUCAUGUGUGCAGCUGUCCUGUGGUGCUUGGAAAAUACUGUUCUCUAGUCACCCACUACCUCUGGUUUCAAUCUUUUUGAACUCUUAUCCUGCUUAGAUUUCAGCUAAAGUCAUCUUGGGAGGAGGAACCUGAAUUGAGAAAAUUCCUUAAUCAGAUGGACUGUAGGCAAGUCUUUAGGACAUUUUCUCUAUUACUGAUUGUUGUGCGAGGGUCCAGCCACUCCUAGCCAAAUGGUCCUGGGUGAGAUAAAAAUGGAGGCUGAAAAAGCCUUGAAGAGCAAGUCAGUAAGCAGCAUUCCUCCGUAGCUUCUGUUCCUAAUUCUUGCCUGGGCUUCCUUCAGUGGACUGUGACCCAGUCACAGUCACAAGUCAAAGAAACUCUUUCCUUCCCAAGUUACUUUUGGCCAUAGUGUUUUAUCACUGCAAUAGAGCAAACUAAGACACUCCUCUUUCUCAAUGACCCCUAAACCUGGGGUGAGGACUUCCUGACUAGGACUCUGACCACACAGGAAGUGUGGCAAAUGGGUCUCAAGAAAUUCUAAAGCUUCUGUACAGCAAAGGAAACUUAUUUGAGUGAAAAGAAGCCUUCUGAAUGAGCAAAGGCUUUGCCAUCUGACACUGGAUUAGUGUUAUGAAUAUACAAAAAACUAAAAAAACUAAACAUCAAGAAAACAAAUCUCCCAGUUAAAAAUGUGCUGUGGAGCUGAAUAAAGCAUUCUCAAAGAAGAAAGACAAAUGGCUUUUAAAGCUGUUCAACCUCUUAAGCUGUAAUAGUCUCUAGCUGUAAUAGUUCUCUAGAGGAAUAAAACUGGUGUGUGUGUGUGUGUGUGUGUAUUAAAACUGGUUGUGGUGGCUCAUACUUUUAAUCCCAGCACUCAGGAGGCAGAGGCAGGCGGAUCUCUGUUAAAGUUUAAGGCCAGCCUGGUCUACAUAAUAGACUCUGUUUGAAAAACAAACAAGUCAGCUUUAAAAUAAUAACAGCUAAAUUACACCUAAGAUGCUGAAAAUUUAGUGCUUUAAUCUGGUUGCCUCAACGGUCAGAGUAGUCCCAUAACAGCUUUCUCUCAUUGGGGGCAAGAGCUGAUAUUUAAUCAAGCUUCAAGACCUCGGUGUGUCUCAAUCUGGUGCCAAAAGGAUCAAGAGCCAGUGGUCUCUAGUCAAUGAUGAAAGCUUAGAAACACUGAUAUCUGUGAAAAAAUCAGCAGCAGCAACAGGGCAAAUCAACUCUGUAAGAGGAGAAGGCAGAGGGAGCAAAAGGCAAGAUGGUAUUUCUUCUGUCACAGAAAGGUGCUGCCCACAAUUGGGGUAGGUCUUCCUACCCAUAUUGAUCAAGAUAACCAGGACAGGGGCUAGAGAGAUUGCUCAAGGGCAGGAGCUGUUGCUGCUCUUGCAGAGAACCUAGGUUCCAUUCCUAGCACACAUAUGGUGGCUCACAACCACCUGUGCCAGCAUCUAGGGACUCUGGUGCCUUUUCUGGCAUCCUCAGGCACCAGGUAUGCCUGCAGUGUACACACAUGCAUACUGGCAUUCACACAGACACAUAAAAGUCAAUCAGGACAUUUCUUCAGGUGCAGCUUCCAACUCAGGUGAUUCUAAUUUGUGGCAAGUUAACAUGAAAACCAACCAUAAUAUCCAUCAGCAAAGUUUGAGUUCAAUGUAAUUUGACUUUUUAUUCCACUCCAGUCAGAAUAAUGUUAGAAGUGGUAACACAUGCGACUGAAGCCGUGGGGUAAAGGGAGCACUCAUUAAUUGUUGGUGGAAGUGCAAAUUGCUGCAAAUUGGCAAUCACUAUGGAAUCACUGUGGAAUUUUUCUCACAAAAUGUUAGAAAUAGAACUGCCAUAUGGCCCAGCUACAUCACUCCUGGCUACAUACCCCAAAGACUGUAUCCUACUGCAGAGAUAGUUGUACAUCCGUGUUCAUUGCCACUUUAUUGAUAGACAUCCACCAGCUGAGGAAUGGAAAGCUAAAUUGUCGUACAUUUACACAUUGAAAGUUUAUUCAACUACAAAGAACAAUCAAAGCAUUAAACUCCCAGGAAAAUGGAUGGAACUGGGAAAUAACCUGAGGUAACCAAGGCUCAGAAAGACAAUGUUCUCUUUCACAAGCAUUCCUAACUUUGGAUUGCUAGAGUAAUGUGUUUAACUUGGAGUGCUUGUAGAGGCCAGGAAGCUAGAUAGGGCAUUAGAGAAAAAAGAAGAAAAAUGCAUUAAAGGUGAGGAGGGUAGACCAUAUUUGAUACCAAGGUGUAGGGAUGGAGAUGAAUAUUGGGUGUGGGGGACAGUGGAAAGGUUUACAUGAAAAUGGGGACAGAAAGAUAGGGAAGAGGCAAGGGUUAGCCAAAACUAAGGAUGCAUGAACCAUGUGGAAAUCUACAUGGUUUGUAAUAUUAAAGAAGGGCUGGAUUGGAGAUGCCUGCAUUAAAAAAAAUCCCAGUUCCUGGAGUGGGAUGCCUCCAUACAAGCUGUUGCUUAGAGAGGCCCCAGAGGCCACAAAAAUAAUACAGGCUCUUGCCUUUGCUAUUAUUGGUUGCUCAACAGAGCUAGAUGGUAAGAAUGUAUUGCUGAAGACACCACAGGGAGAAAUGAAGCUAGUUUUCAGUGUGGGAAGGCACUGUGCAGGCUGCUGGGAGAGAAGUCAACUGUUUUUAUCCAAACGUGAACCCUAUAAGCUACAGAAAUAACCUUCCAGGCCAGUGGACCUACAGUACAGUAGUAGCAUUGCCAUUAGGGGGUAACAACGAUUGUCUUAAUGGAUUUGAAGUUGGUUCCAUAGGAGGGAAUUCAUGCCUGGUACUGUAAACCUGUCCAAGAACUCACAGAUUGGGAGAUAAUGGGCCCUGGGGUAGCCUUCUACUGUUGUUUUGUUAAAUAGACAUGUUGUCAAGUUGCCUUCUAAAUAUGUUUAUUCCUAUAGGUUUAUGCUGCAGGCAGCCUCCGUCAAAGAGCCUUCUCUUUCCUUUAAUGUAGUGAUUCAUAACUGGCUAAAGGGCUGGUGAUACAAGCAACCAGAAGAGAUAAAUUGGAGCCUGAGACCCUGACUUGACUGGCCUAUGUACUCACUAUGUAGACCAUAUGGGCCUCAAAAAUCAUAAAGAUCCUCCUGCCUCUGCUGGGAUUAAAGGUGUGUGCCUCUAGGCCCAGUCCAUGUUGCCAGUCUUUGUCAACUUCUCACAAACUAGAGACACCUGAAAAGAUGAAACAUCAGUUGGAAGUUGCUUCCAUCAGACAGGCUCAUGGGCAUGCCUGUGGGGGCAUUUUCUUGGUUAAUGAUUGGCGUGGGAGGGUCCAGCCCACUUUGAGCAGUGCCACCCUUGGGAAUAUAGUCCUGGCCUGUAUAAGAAAGUAAGGUGAGAAAAGCCAUGGGGAGUAUGGCGGUUUGCAUAAGGAUGGCCCCAUAUUUGAAUACUUGUUAUCAGGGAGUGGCACUACUUGAAAAGGAUUAUGAGGUGUGGCCUUGUUGGAGCAAGUGGCCUUGUUGGAGGAAGAGUGUCUCUGCAGGGGAGGUGGGGGAUUUGAGGGGGGUGGACUUUGAGGUUUCAAAAGUCCAAGCCAGUCUCAGUACCUUUCCCUUCCUGCUGUCUGCAGAUCCAAAUGUAGAGCUCUCAGCUCCUUCUCCAGCACCAUGUCUGCCUACGUGCUACCAUACUUCCCUUCACGACAAUAAAAAUCUCUGAAACGGGCUCAGAGGACAUUGGGAAGAGGUGGAAAGAAUGUAAGAGCUGGAGGAUUGGAACAGCUGCUGCAAACUGAUGUCUCCUGGACAGGACAUGGCUGCUCACACCUGACAUUACAGGGCUGUUGUUAUCUGCCCAGGAUGGAAUCUAUCCACAUUUCAUCAUGGACGAGAGAGGGACUCCUGAGGCCCCACCCCAUCCCAAGGAGUGGUUAGAAGUAAUGGUUGCAGGGGAGGGGAGAGGGGUGUCUCUUCAGUAGUACAGCCACUGAUAAGUUGCCCAUGCUCCAGUAAUUCCCUAACCAUGCUCAUGCAAGAAAACACAAUUAAACUCAGUGGAUCAUGGCUGGGGGGGGGGGGGGUGAACACCCCCCUUGUUGGAAAAAGGAAAGCUUUCAGUGGGAGAUGGAGGUUGACGAGGGUCAAAGGUGUGAAAAUGACCAAAAUGCAUUCUAUACAUUUAUGAAAUCAUCAAAUAAGUUUUUUAAAGCCUAUUGCAAAAUAAAUUAAUUAAUUAAAAUAAAUAGGCUACUGCAAUUCUAUUAUUUGU